CAGUCGAGGGGCAGCAUGAACUUAGCUUGCUAAGUUUGAUGGCGACCGGCGCACGGGUGAGUAACACGUAUCCAACCUGCCGAUGACUCGGGGAUAGCCUUUCGAAAGAAAGAUUAAUACCCGAUGGCAUAAUUCUUCCGCAUGGUAGAAUUAUUAAAGAAUUUCGGUCAUCGAUGGGGAUGCGUUCCAUUAGGUUGUUGGCGGGGUAACGGCCCACCAAGCCUUCGAUGGAUAGGGGUUCUGAGAGGAAGGUCCCCCACAUUGGAACUGAGACACGGUCCAAACUCCUACGGGAGGCAGCAGUGAGGAAUAUUGGUCAAUGGACGAGAGUCUGAACCAGCCAAGUAGCGUGAAGGAUGACUGCCCUAUGGGUUGUAAACUUCUUUUAUACGGGAAUAAAGUGAGGCACGUGUGCCUUUUUGUAUGUACCGUAUGAAUAAGGAUCGGCUAACUCCGUGCCAGCAGCCGCGGUAAUACGGAGGAUCCGAGCGUUAUCCGGAUUUAUUGGGUUUAAAGGGAGCGUAGGCGGACGCUUAAGUCAGUUGUGAAAGUUUGCGGCUCAACCGUAAAAUUGCAGUUGAUACUGGGUGUCUUGAGUACAGUAGAGGCAGGCGGAAUUCGUGGUGUAGCGGUGAAAUGCUUAGAUAUCACGAAGAACUCCGAUUGCGAAGGCAGCCUGCUGGACUGUAACUGACGCUGAUGCUCGAAAGUGUGGGUAUCAAACAGGAUUAGAUACCCUGGUAGUCCACACAGUAAACGAUGAAUACUCGCUGUUUGCGAUAUACAGUAAGCGGCCAAGCGAAAGCGUUAAGUAUUCCACCUGGGGAGUACGCCGGCAACGGU
rnacentral:rRNA from 1 species